rnacentral:tRNA from 1 species
GGAGGUAUAGCUCAGUGGUAGAGUGCAUGCCUAGCAUGCAUGAGGUCCUGGGUUCAAUCCCCAGCACCUCCA